CAGUAGCCGCGGUAAUACGUAGGGUGCGAGCGUUAAUCGGAAUUACUGGGCGUAAAGCGUGCGCAGGCGGUUCGUUAAGACAGAUGUGAAAUCCCCGGGCUUAACCUGGGAACUGCAUUUGUGACUGACGGGCUAGAGUGUGGCAGAGGGGGGUAGAAUUCCACGUGUAGCAGUGAAAUGCGUAGAGAUGUGGAGGAAUACCGAUGGCGAAGGCAGCCCCCUGGGCCAAUACUGACGCUCAUGCACGAAAGCGUGGGGAGCAAACAGGAUUAGAGACCCGCGUAGUCCCUGUCUCUUAUAC
rnacentral:rRNA from 1 species